AUCGGUUCACGCUCCUGGUGGCGGUAGUGGGCGAAUUUUUUGCGAUCCGUCAAAAAAACGAAGAAGACGACUUUCAGCGGCGGCACGAUAGAUGAGUGGAAGAGGUUAUGGAUACAGAAGACCAUAAGCAGAUUCCUGGAGAAAUAGUAUGCCACAUUCCUGAGAUGCUUCCGGCAGAUAAACUGGAUAAACUAAUUUAUAUUUCAUUAAUGAAUUAUUAGCAAGGUAUUGUAUGAGAACUUCUGACCAAAGUGUUUUUUAAUAUAACAUAAGCAUGUUUCAUCUUCUGUGUCAUGUGACACUCUCUUCACUGCUAGGGGUUUUUAGAAACAUGUGAGUUUGUGUUUAAUUCAAGAACCAGUUGAUUGUUAAUCUCAGCGUGAAAACUUGUGUAACGCUUUAUUGCAAGAAUUAUCUGCACAUUUUUAUAUUAUUUUACCUUUCUAUUUGCUUUUAUUAUGAACCGUGCCUUAUUUUUAUGCUAUACAAAUGCAUUGCACUUAAUUGCACUGACAUGUAUCUAUCUAUGUUUUGUAUUA